UACAGAGGUCUCAAGCGUUGUUCGGAUUCAUUGGGCGUAAAGGGCGCGUAGGCGGCGCCGUAAGUCGGGUGUGAAAUUUCGGAGCUUAACUCCGAAACUGCAUUCGAUACUGCGGUGCUUGAGGACUGGAGAGGAGACUGGAAUUCAUGGUGUAGCAGUGAAAUGCGUAGAGAUCAUGAGGAAGACCAGUGGCGAAGGCGGGUCUCUGGACAGUUCCUGACACUGAGACACGAAGGCCAGGGGAGCAAACGGG
rnacentral:rRNA from 1 species